UCUUCCGUGGCGCAAUUGGCUAGCGCGUCUGACUGUUAAAGGCUAAUGGGACCUCACGGUAUACAAAGUCUGCUGCAAUCAGGAGGUUGACAGUUCAAGCCUGUCCGGGAGAG
rfam:Diplodia corticola strain CBS 112549 scaffold8, whole genome shotgun sequence.